rnacentral:rRNA from 1 species
AACGAACGCUGGCGGCAGGCUUAACACAUGCAAGUCGAACGCAUCCUUCGGGGUGAGUGGCAGACGGGUGAGUAACGCGUGGGAACGUGCCCUUCAGUUCGGGAUAACCCAGGGAAACUUGGGCUAAUACCGGAUACGUGCGAGAGCAGAAAGAUUUAUCGCUGAAGGAUCGGCCCGCGUCUGAUUAGCUAGUUGGUGGGGUAAUGGCCCACCAAGGCGACGAUGAGUAGCUGGUCUGAGAGGAUGAUCAGCCACAUUGGGACUGAGACACGGCCCAAACUCCUACGGGAGGCAGCAGUGGGGAAUAUUGGACAAUUGGCGCAAGCCUGAUCCAGCCAUGCCGCGUGAGUGAUGAAGGCCUUAGGGUUGUAAAGCUCUUUCGUCCGGGACGAUAAUGACGGUACCGGAAGAAGAAGCCCCGGCUAACUUCGUGCCAGCCGCCGCGGUAA